rnacentral:rRNA from 1 species
GACGAACGCUGGCGGCGUGCUUAACACAUGCAAGUCGAACGGAAAGGCCCUGCUUUUGUGGGGUGCUCGAGUGGCGAACGGGUGAGUAACACGUGAGUAACCUGCCCUUGACUUUGGGAUAACUUCAGGAAACUGGGGCUAAUACCGGAUAGGAGCUCCUGCUGCAUGGUGGGGGUUGGAAAGUUUCGGCGGUUGGGGAUGGACUCGCGGCUUAUCAGCUUGUUGGUGGGGUAGUGGCUUACCAAGGCUUUGACGGGUAGCCGGCCUGAGAGGGUGAACGGCCACAUUGGGACUGAGAUACGGCCCAGACUCCUACGGGGGGCAGCAGUGGGGAAUAUUGCACAAUGGGCGGAAGCCUGAUGCAGCAACGCCGCGUGCGGGAUGACGGCCUUCGGGUUGUAAACCGCUUUCGCCUGUGACGAAGCGUGAGUGACGGUAAUGGGUAAAGAAGCACCGGCUAACUACGUG